AGCCGCGAAGAUUUCGACUCCGAUUUCCUCGUCUCUGCAGCUUCAUGCGGUGUCCCCUUCGUCCCGGUAAGCGAGGGUCACGCCGACUGCCUCCCAUGGCGGCGCCUCGUCCACUCGCCCUCUUCCUCGUCGUCCUCCUCCUUACUUCGCUGCCACCUGCGGCUGAAGGCUUGUGGCUCAGCCAGUGGGGCACGCUCGUCUCCUUGUCCCACUCCCUCCUCACCCGGGUCGCCAACGCCCGCGCCGCUCGGGACGACCUCGCCGGCGCAGACCGCGUCCGGAAGAUCGCUGACAAGCUCAGUCUCCUUGGAGGUUCCGGAGGCGGGAUCUGGUCCCUAGGACGGGACUUCGCCUGGAACUACGCCUGGCGAGGCGGAGGGGUCCCGACGGCGGAAAUUUCCCGCGCCACCUCCCGUCUCCUUGAGGCUCUGGCGGAGGCGAGUCGGAUCGAAUCCGCCGCAGAACGGAGCAGGUGGGCGCUUCGCAACUACCGGCAUCUCGUCGAUCUCGCUGACUCCCUUUUCAAAAGCCUUCUCCGCACCUUCUCGCGAUCGGGGCCAUUGAGGGAGAUGGUGUUGGCAGUGCAGAGGGAGGUGGCCGAGGGGGAGCUGCUCAAGGACUGUUUGGAGAUUGUCGCUGUGGACCUGGAGGGCUUGAUUCGAAUAGUUAGAGAUGCAUUCUUAUCCUCCUCCAAUGUAGACGAAGGGGAGCUCUAAAGCUUAAAAAUUUGCAUCACGCUGAUUGCGCCAGUAACUGAUCCGAAUCCCACACCAGGAGAAGAUAUCCGAGUGCAGUGUGCACAAUCAAAAGACUGAGUUCCAGUCCUGCAAGCAUCAAGCACGUCUUAUGCAAGGGAAAGAACGAUUUUGUUUUGUUUUUUUGCUAGAUUUCUGAUAUCUAUCGACAAUUAGCUAUUCCUGAAACAAUAGUGCAGUGACCCGUGACAUUUCUUGGCCAUCCACUUCCAGAUCUUGGGCUGACGGCCUCCGCCAUGGCAUUCCAGCAUCAGUUUCUUGCCGAAGCGUAUUGAUUAUGGUCGGUUGGCUUCAUUAAGGACUGUUGCCGAUGAGCACCCAAAUUUAGUUGCUGCGGGUGGCAGAAGGUCAAGUCUAGCGAUGCGGAAGUCAGUGUAGCAGAAUCGGCGGCCUGAUUUGGUUUGAUGAGAAGCAUGCAUGUGCCCCACUAUGAAAUGAUGGUACCUACGCGGAAUCGUAGUUAAUGCAUUUAUGGCUUCUUAUUUUCCUGCUAAACUCGACUCCAGCACAGGUUGGUGGCUUGAAAUAAGAACCAUGUUGAUGGCUUGGAAGGCAGUGCCCAUGAGUGGCUAAGGACAUUGUUAGCUUGAAGGACUCUUAUGGUGAACUCAUUGAGA